GGCCAUAUCAAAAACUUUAGUCAUCUGUCUCUCUCUCAUAUUCUCUUUUUUCUCUUCCCUACCUCCCACACUUUCCCUGUCUGCCAUAAAUACAUAAAAAAGUUGAGGGGAAUGUCGUCUGGUUCGAGAUCAUUCAUGUAAGUAGUCUCAGACGUAACUCUUCUGGGUGAUUUCGGACCAGGCUUCAUUCCCCUCAGCAACCAACCAAAAGCAGACACUAUUUUCUUCCACUCCUACAUACAUACACAACCUUCUUUUCCUUUGAUCAGUCUCCUUAUGAUGUCGUGCUCUUGAGCAAGUUCUGAGGCAAUUGAAGACCAAAGAAGUAUUGCAUAAAACGGGGAAACUGAAGUUACAGGUGACAGGAACAUGCAGAUGGUAGAGUAUGGAUCGGGGAGUAUCACUUGUCCGUUCAAUUGCACAAAAGGCGAAAAGAACAGUAUAAUUAUUCUGCCAUGUUUCACCUGUGAUGGAAAGAAAACCCCCAAGCAGAUGAAAUAAAAAAAGAACAGUUAGAGACAGCCUUAAAAAAGAGUUGGUAGGGUCAUCCCAAUUCCCAAAGCAGAGUCCAGUGUUGGUUCAUUCCAUGAUUGAUUAAUUACAGGCAGAGGCUCCAUAGAAUCAGAUUCCAGAUCACUUACCUAAGCCACCAAGCAAGUUCCACCUAAAAGAGACUGCAGAAAGCACAGAUAACAAACUACAUGCUUCUUUGGCACCUGCAAAGCUGCCAUGCACAUGCCACAGAACCACCAAUUACACCACCAACACCUAAACCUGCUUUUUCUGCAUAUUUCCCAACAACCAAACAUUAACAUCCAUUCUAUUAUCAUCACUCAAUACAUGCUACAACUGCAAGAUAUUAUUACAUGAUCCAAGUUCAUGUAAUCCAACCAAUCAUCAUGUCACACAUUCUUUCUACAAACUACAAAAUAUAAUUACAUGUCACAUAAAGAUUAGUCAGAUUAAAUAAUUCUUGUCUACACAAUAAUUUCUCUAUAAUUGCACUGUGGUCCAAGUGUAAUUCUGUGUAGUCCCUUAUUAUAGUCAUGUAUGCUUUUAUAAAUUUUCUUAUUGACAUUUAUACAAAGCUAUUGCACCUCACCAAAAAGUCAAAACCUCAAUUGUUGCAUUCCUUCCAUAAUAUCUUUAUCCAUAGUGUAAUGACUCAUGACAGAAAACCAUCCUGUGAAAGGUUAGUGUAUGACAUCACAAUUUUCUUUCAGCA